AACAGGUGAGACACGAGCAGAACUACAGUAGGAUGCAAAUGGAACAUCAAGAUCCACCUAUGUGAAGCGUCUUGGCUUAUUGAAUCGCGUCGCAAGGAUCGUCCUUCCUUUGUCACAGAGGAUCCACGAGGAUCCCUUGAAGGCCUCUGCGGAGUUCGUUCUCGUCUAAUUUCAAUUGCGCGCUUCCUCUCCCGCUCCUUCUCCCGCCGCUCCAACAUGCGCUCCCGGUUGCGCCUCCGUUCUCGUUCCCUUUCACGAUCCCGGUCUCUUUCCUUCUCCCUUUCUCGUUCCUUCUCCCGUUCUUUUUCCCUCUCACGCAAGAACUCUCUACGACGUUCAUCCUCUCGCAGCUCAAACUCCCGAAGA
rnacentral:lncRNA from 1 species